rnacentral:rRNA from 1 species
UAAGGAAUAUUGCUCAAUGGGAGAAAUCCUGAAGCAGCAACGCCGCGUGGAGGAUGAAGGGUCUAUGACUUGUAAACUCCUGUAAAGAAGGAAAAAAUUCCCAUUUGAUGGGAGAUGAUGGUACUUCUGGAGUAAGCCCCGGCUAACUACGUGCCAGCAGCCGCGGUAAUACGUAGGGGGCAAGCGUUGUCCGGAUUUACUGGGUGUAAAGGGUGCUCAGGCGGAUUUGUAAGUCAGAGGUGAAAUCUUACCGCUUAACUGUGAAACUGCCUUUGAUACUGCAAGCCUAGAGUAUGGAAGAGAGUGAUGGAAUAUCUGGUGUAGCAGUGAAAUGCGUAGAUAUCAGAUAGAACACCUAUGGCGAAGGCAGUCACUUGGUCCAUUACUGACGCUAAAGCACGAAAGCGUGGGUAGCAAACA